rnacentral:rRNA from 1 species
UAGGUGAACUUGCGGAAGGAUCAUUG